AACGGCCGUACCAUGCUCAAUAUACCGGUUCUCGUUAGAUCACCGAAGUUAAGCAGCAUUGGGCGCGGUCAGUACUUGGGUGGGUGACCACCUGGGAACACUGCGUGCCGUU
rnacentral:rRNA from 1 species